rnacentral:lncRNA from 1 species
AAUGGAGGCCUGACCUGGGAGACAGGCAUUUUCACAUCCUGUUCACAAAUCCUCAUCAUCAAUAAUGUGUGAAGACAACUGGGAAUGACAGAGGGUCUCUUUCUUUCGCAGGAUCAUGUUAUCUUUAACCCCCUUUCCGCUGCUCGUGGUCCUCUGGACAGCCCUUCUCCAGCGUCACAAACAUUUGCUCUUGUUAAGGUUGGGGCCGUUUUCCCUCCCUCCUCUGGGCCUUGCCCGCCCGUGCGCCCCCAACCCCGGCUCCCCCUCGCCUGUGUUACUAGGGAUGCUGUUUUGUUUUCUUUUCUCCCUUUGUUUUGCCUCUUUAAGAAAAGAAAAGUGAGCACCUGAGAAAGAGAGCGAGAGGGAGGCCGAGGGAGAAGAGACGGCGAGCACCAAAUGAUCUGAGAAUGAUAAAGGAAGGUUACCUGUGUGUUUGUCAACAAGAUGAAAUAAAUAAGAGCAAAAAAAAAAGAGGACAGCAGUCAAAGGCAAUCAAAUAUGUAUUUAAUUAAAGCAAACAUAAAAAUAAAAGUUACAUGUUGAAUCAAUAAACAGCACUUUUUUCUACAUGCAUUUUGAACAAGACAGAUCAGAAUCUUGCAUGAUGAAGACAUAAUGUGUCAUAAUAAUCAGGAACACAGACAAAAGAACAGCUAAUCAGCAUGCAAAUGUAUGCAGUUCUGGUGAUUCAGAUGAGGCAGAUUUCUACCUCUUUUUUGCUUGAUUCAUCUUCAUUGCUAAUCAUCUGAAGGCUGCCAAAUGUUCACUGACACUAAUGUAUUAUAGGUCAAGAGAGGCAGGUCUUCACCUAUUACCCCCCCGAACAAUAUGCUUCCCUUCCCUGUUUCCUCUUCAGGAUUUUCAGCAAUCACUGCCAGAUGCAAUCAGACUCCUUGAAUAGGAGCAACUGAGGCUUGUUUGUGGCUCGGAUUCAUUAGAAUCAGGAGGCUGAAGAAAGGAAUAAAUUACUUAAUUGCACAAAAAAGUUGCAGCCAAAGUGAUGGAGAUGAUCAAGUUGAAUAAAACCCUUGUUGUCCACCUCCUGAAUGCUCCUUCGCACGAGAUGCAGGAAACGGGAAGACCUCACCGGCCUGCCGCGCAGGGACGUGGGCCCCAGCCUGAACUGAGGAGGAGAGAGGGGUUGCUCAAAUGGGGCAAAGAAAGAAAGAAGUUGCUCUAUUUUCUAACCACUGGGAUUCCUUUCUUGCCUCAGACUAACUCUUAAUCUGUUAAAAAAAAUAAAAAUAAAAAGGCACACUGUUAACCAGGGCUGUUCACAUAGAACCAAGGGAGAAGAAACAAAACCGCUCAGAACACUCUCACGUGCUCCGCCCCCCCUUUCUCUGGCACUCCGCGCGUCUCUGGCCGGGGGGCCUCUGUCUCAGGCGUUGCACUCAGGUUUUUGGUCAUGUGCCCGACUUGUGGGUGGUCUUCAAGUCUUGAAGAAGGAACUUCAUUUUCUCUCUGAAGUCCUUGCAUGGCUAGUAGCUGUGUCUCUCUGUCUGUGUGUAUAUGUGUGUGUAUGUAGAGGGUGUGAGAGGAAGAGGUUGAUGCAAGAUGAGGCCCCAGCAGGGAAGAAAUGGGGAAAGAAAUAAUGAAGAUGGAUUUU